UACGUAGGUGGCAAGCGUUGUCCGGAUUUAUUGGGUUUAAAGGGUGCGUAGGCGGCUUUGUAAGUCAGUGGUGAAAUAUGGCAGCUCAACUGUCAAGGUGCCAUUGAUACUGCGGAGCUUGAGUACAGAUGAGGUAGGCGGAAUUGACGGUGUAGCGGUGAAAUGCUUAGAUAUCGUCAAGAACACCUAUAGCGAAGGCAGCUUACUAGGCUGUAACUGACGCUGAGGCACGAAAGCUAGGGGAGCGAACAGG
rnacentral:rRNA from 1 species